rnacentral:rRNA from 1 species
UAGGGAAUCUUCGGCAAUGGACGAAAGUCUGACCGAGCAACGCCGCGUGAGUGAAGAAGGUUUUCGGAUCGUAAAACUCUGUUGUUAGAGAAGAACAAGGACGUUAGUAACUGAACGUCCCCUGACGGUAUCUAACCAGAAAGCCACGGCUAACUACGUGCUAGCAGCCGCGGUAAUACGUAGGUGGCAAGCGUUGUCCGGAUUUAUUGGGCGUAAAGCGAGCGCAGGCGGUUUCUUAAGUCUGCUGUGAAAGCCCCCGGCUCAACCGGGAGGGUCAUUGGAAACUGGGAGACUUGAGUGCGGAAGAGGAGAGUGGAAUUCCAUGUGUAGCGGUGAAAUGCGUAGAUAUAUGGAGGAGAACCAGUGGCGAAGGCGGCUCUCUGGUCUGUAACUGACGCUGAGGAACGAAAGCGUGGGUAGCAAACAGG